rnacentral:rRNA from 1 species
CGGGGAAUAUUGCACAAUGGAGGGAACUAUGAUGAAGCGACGCAGCGGGAACGAAGAAGGCGGUCGAGUCGUAAAGUUAUUUUAUAUGGGAAGAUAAUGACGGGACCAUAAGAAAAAGCCGCGGCUAACGACGUGCCAGCAGCCGCGGUAAUACGAAGGGGGCUAGCGUUGUCCGGAAUCACUGGGCGUAAAGGGUUCGCAGGCGGAAAUGCAAGUCAGGUGUAAAAGGCAGUAGCUUAACUACUGUAAGCAUUUGAAACUGCAUAUCUUGAGAAGAGUAGAGGUAAGUGGAAUUUUUAGUGUAGCGGUGAAAUGCGUAGAUAUUAAAAAGAAUACCGGUGGCGAAGGCGACUUACUGGGCUCAUUCUGACGCUGAGGAACGAAAGCGUGGGUAGCAAGCAGG